rnacentral:SRP_RNA from 1 species
GCUGGGUGUGGUGGUGCAUGCCUGUAAUCCCAGCUACUUGGGAGGCUGAGGCAGGAGAAUCGUUUGAACCCAGGAGGUUGAGGUUGCAGUGAGCCAAGAUUGUGCCACUGCACCCCAGCCUGGGUAACAGAGUGAGACUCUAUCUCAA